AUGCAUGUCUAAGUACAAGCCUAAUUAAGGUGAAACCGCGAAUGGCUCAUUAAAUCACACCUAAUAUACUGGAUAUUAACAGUUACUUGGAUAACUGCGGUAAUUCUGGAGCUAAUACAUGCAAACAAGUCCCGCACUUUCGUGGGGGACGCUUUUAUUAGAUCAAAACCAAUUUUUUACUUGGUGAUUCUGAAUAACUUUGUGCUGAUCGCAUGGCUUUAUGCCGGCGACGUAUCCUUCUAAGGUGUGCCCUAUCAACUGUCGACUGUGGCAUAGACGCCCACAGUGGUUUUGACGGGUAACGGGGAAUUAGGGUUCGAUUCCGGAGAGGGAGCCUGAGAAACGGCUACCACUUCUAAGGAAGGCAGCAGGCACGCAAAUUACCCAAUGGUCGAAGACCGAGGUAGUGACGAAAAAUAACGAAGCCGGACUCAUCCGAGGCCCGGUUAUCGGAAUGAGAACACUUUAAAUCCUUUAACUAGGAACAAUUGGAGGGCAAGUCUGGUGCCAGCAGCCGCGGUAAUUCCAGCUCCAAUAGCGUAUAUUAAAGUUGUUGCGGUUAAAAAGCUCGUAGUUGGAUCUCGCCGAGUUGAGGGACGUUCGUUUUUCGACGCAACUACCUCGUUUACUCGUGAUUAUUGACUGAGGCGCUAGGGUGACCUUCAUUGAUUGUCCUAGUGGCUCGUCAGGUUUACUUUGAAAAAAUUAGAGUGCUCAAAGCAGGCUUAACAGCUUGAAUAUUCGUGCAUGGAAUAAUAGAAUAGGAUGUCGU
rnacentral:rRNA from 1 species